CCCCAGAUGUUGCUGAACUACAACUCCCAUGAUACUCUGGCUAUCUAAUUCAAAGAAUCAUGGGAGUUGUAGUUCAGCAACAUCUGGGG
rnacentral:miRNA from 1 species